GUAGGUGGCAAGCGUUGUCCGGAAUUAUUGGGCGUAAAGCGCGCGCAGGCGGUUCUUUAAGUCUGAUGUGAAAGCCCACGGCUCAACCGUGGAGGGUCACUGGAAACUGGAGAACUUGAGUACAGAAGAGGAAAGCGGAAUUCCACGUGUAGCGGUGAAAUGCGUAGAGAUGUGGAGGAACACCAGUGGCGAAGGCGGCUUUCUGGUCUGUAACUGACGCUGAGGCGCGAAAGCGUGGGGAGCAAACAGGAUUAGAUACCCUGGUAGUCCACGCCGUAAACGAUGAGUGCUAAGUGUUAGGGGGGUUUCCGCCCCCCUUAGUGCUGCAGCUAACGCAUUAAGCACUCCGCCUGGGAGUACGGCCGCAAGGCUG
rnacentral:rRNA from 1 species